UUUUCCUUUUUCUUUUCUUUUCUUUUCUUUUCUUCUUCCUUCUUCUUUUCUUUUCUUCUUUUCUUCUCUUUUCCUGUGGGUUCCUUUGGGCCAAAACAGGAGACCGUGAGGUCUCCUCGUUGGUUGGCCGGACUCCGACGAGGGGAGGCGACAUCCACUCGACGGCGACAAAGCAAGACCGGUCGGCAGCGAGAUUCGACCAGCGAGCCGAAGGAUUUUCGAAAAAACAGAGGACCGUCCCUAUUUUUUUUUAUUUUCCGGUCGUUGGCUUGUCACCGGCGGCCAAAACUUUCAGGGAAGGAAGAGUGAGAGACGAGGGUCCGAUCUCGAGGAUGGAACGCCGCAACCGGCGGUGCCGAUGGUCGAAAAAGAGAGGGAAGAGUCCGACCAAAACAGAGCAAAAACAGGGGUCAUCUUGUUCAUGAAUUUUCUGGCGAUCCUGACGGCCGACGAUGAGUCUAAAACCAUGGGAAGAAAGAAAAGAGGGAGAGGAAGAAAGAUUGAACCCUUAUCUGAACUCUGGUGGUCUCUUCGACCUUCAAUUUCCGACGAAUACGAAAAGAGGCUACCGCGGCUUCUACGGAGAAAAAGAGAGGAAUCGAGCUCGAAGAUCACCGGUGGAGGGUCUUGAGAGAGGGAGAGACUUAUUUAUAGGGGUUCCUAGGGCUCGGGUGAUCCUAAGACUCUCCUUCCAUCCGAGAUUCAUCGGAGAAGAAGACUCCCGAAGGGAGUCUCCUUCUGCUCUUUAUUUUUUUUUGUUUGGAUUUUGGGCUUGAUCCUGGGCCGGGAUGUUACACGUUCUAACGAAGAGAGUACUACUUCAGCUUAGAACAGAAAAAAGACCGGCACAUAAGUCAACACGGAAA
rnacentral:lncRNA from 1 species